rnacentral:rRNA from 1 species
AUUGAAAGCUGGCGGCAGGCAUAACACAUGCAAGUCGAACGAGUGGCGGACGGGUGAGUAAUGACUGGGAAACUGCCCGAUGGAGGGGGAUAACUACCGGAAACGGUAGCUAAUACCGCAAACCAUCAGAUGUGCCCAGAUGUGAAUAGCUAGUUGGUGGGGUAACGGCGCACCAAGGCGACAAUCCAUAGUUGGUCUGAGAGGAUGACCGGCCACUCAGGUACGUAUAAGCGAUCCAGACUCCGAUGAUAGGCAGGAGUGGUGAAUAUUUCACAAUGCGGGCAACCCUGAUACUGCCUUGCCGAGUUUUUGAAGUAUGCCUUCGGGUUGUGGUGUCCUUUCGGCGGGGAGGCGUUUCCCGCUGACGAAGCACCGGCUAUCUCCGUGCCAGCAGCCGCGGUAAUUC